rnacentral:lncRNA from 1 species
GAAAUUACUAUUAAAAGAAAAACAUACACAAAAAUUUAUAUAGAUAUGUCAAGAUUAUUAUAAUACAAUUUUCAAAAAAAAAAGAUUAUUAUAAUACAUUAUACAUCGAACAAGAGUCUGUUAAACAAUAUCAGAAAGAAUAAACUAAACGAAGAAGAAAAUCCCAGAAGCAGAGGAAAACAAAUGAAUAGAUUCAUCAAAUCUUGUAGUGUUAUUUCCGCACCGGCCUUAUUAACAGAGUCUCGAUCUUGUAAACCGGCCAUCUUGGGAGGUUGACGAUCUGUUCCAAUCGGAUUACAUCAACACUAUUAUCGUCACUCUGCAAAUUCUGCACAGAGAAAAAGGUCUUCCAACAUCGAUAGGCUGGGUAAUUGAUCAUCUCUCAUAAAGGCGCACACCCAUGAUUAGAAGAUGCAUCUACAAGUGCCAAAAAAAAUUGAGAUUCAAUACAACAAGCAGUUUAAAUAACUGAUUGAAAUAUACACCUCCUACAGAAGAUUAACCAUACGUAAUGCAACUGAAAUUAGUGAUUGUGAAAAUUUAGAAACCAAAAAAGAGACGGCUUAGGUUUUUAGGUAAACUUGUGAAUGAGGGAGAGAGUAAGUUUUUAAC